rnacentral:lncRNA from 1 species
AUCCCUUCCUCAGAGAACUUCCAUUCAGAUGGGGGCAGAUGCAUAAAAAUCCAUAGCAUAGUGAUUCAGUCACACAAUAUGUUAGAAGGUGGUAUGUGAGCCAGGCGUGCUUGUGUGAGCCUGUAAUCCCAACUACUUAGGAGGCUGAGGUGGGAGGAUUGCUUGAGACCAGGAGUUCAAGCUAUAAUACGAUCUUGGAUGGGAACAGGUGGGAGUCAGGGUUUGUUUACACGUAAGUGAGAACUUUAAUGAGUUAUCUUCAGAAGCAGUGAAUGCCCCAUCCCUGGAGAUAGUUAAUCAGGGAGCAGCUGACUACUACCAGAAGGCUGCGUAAGGAAUAAGAUAUGAGUAAAGGCCCUUCUGGGUCUGGGUGCUAGGGACUUGAAG